CGUCUUGCCACUCCCUUCCAGAUGGCCUCUCCAUCUUCCAAGUCUGCUCUAAGUGUCCCAGGGCCUCAUGCAGCCACUGGGAAUGCCCAGGGACCAAACUCAGCCUCCAACUUCUGGGAUCUUCAUCUCCCUUCAAACAUAAAAGAAGUUGUCUGCACGUUUGGGAUCUGGUAACAGGACCACAAGAAAACUCUUGCAGCAAACUGAAGGUUUCUAUUUCAGAUCCUUCCACCACCUUCACCACCAUCAUUUCCAUAAUCCACCACCACCAUCACCACUAUCAUCACUACUAUCUUCAUCACCACCUCUCAAUACCUCCAUCAUCACCACCCACCAUCAUCACCUCCACCACCAUGAGCACCACAUCUACCAUCAAAAAAGAGUUUAUUUCCCAGCUCUUUGACUCUUGACGCUGGGUUGGCCAUGUGACUUCUCUGGCUAAUAGGAUAUUAACAAAUGUGAUGCAAGCAGUGGCUUGAAAAAAGCAUGCACUUUGGAGUUUGCCCUCUCUUGCUGAUCUGGGAACCCUGCCACUACCACCACGUGAUCUAAUCUGGGCUGGCCUGCUGGAGGAUAACCGAUCAUGUGGAGCAGAGAUGAGCUAGUCCAGCUCCAGCCCUACGAGACUAAUCAGCCCGCCAAUCAGCAGAUACAUGAGAGACCAUUCUGGACCAUCCAGACCCUGCUCAGCUGGCCGAGGCCUGAACACCCCCCAGGUUGAGAGACUAGAGAUUCAUGAUAAAUAAUAAAAUAUUUAUUGUUUUAAGCCACAAAAUGUUGUGGUGGUUUGUUAUAGAGCAAAAGCUGGCUGAUACAGGGACCAUAUCUCAC
rnacentral:lncRNA from 1 species